UUCCGUUAGGUGAACCUGCGGAAGGAUCAUUA
rnacentral:rRNA from 1 species